GGAUUAGAUACCCUGGUAGUCCACGCCGUAAACGAUGUCUACUAGUUGUCGGUGGUCUUGUACUGCUGGUAACGCAGCUAACGCGAUAAGUAGACCGCCUGGGGAGUACGGCCGCAAGGUUAAAACUCAAAUGAAUUGACGGGGGCCCGCACAAGCGGUGGAGCAUGUGGUUUAAUUCGAAGCAACGCGAAGAACCUUACCUGGCCUUGACAUCCUGCGAAUCUCUUGGAGACAAGAGAGUGCCUUCGGGAACGCAGAGACAGGUGCUGCAUGGCUGUCGUCAGUGCCGCUGU
rnacentral:rRNA from 1 species